rnacentral:rRNA from 1 species
AACGUAGGUCCCGAGCGUUAUCCGGAUUUACUGGGCGUAAAGCGUGUUCAGGCGGUCUAGCAAGUCGGGCAUGAAAUCUCUCGGCUCAACCGGGAGGGGUUGUCCGAUACUGCUGGGCUUGAGGGCAGCAGAGGGUGGUGGAAUUCCGGGUGUAGUGGUGAAAUGCGCAGAUAUCAGGAGGAACACCGAUGGCGAAGGCAGGUCUCUGGGCCACUACUGACGCUGAGAAGCGAAAGCAUGGGGAGCGAACAGG